rnacentral:rRNA from 1 species
CCUACGGGGGGCAGCAGUGAGGAAUAUUGGUCAAUGGACGAGAGUCUGAACCAGCAAAGUAGCGUGAAGGAUGACUGCCCUAUGGGUUGUAAACUUCUUUUAUAUGGGAAUAAAACGUUCCACGUGUGGGAUUUUGUAUGUACCAUAUGAAUAAGGAUCGGCUAACUCCGUGCCAGCAGCCGCGGUAAUACGGAGGAUCCGAGCGUUAUCCGGAUUUAUUGGGUUUAAAGGGAGCGUAGGUGGAUUGUUAAGUCAGUUGUGAAAGUGUGCGGCUCAACCGUAAAAUUGCAGUUGAAACUGGCAGUCUUGAGUACAGUAGAGGUGGGCGGAAUUCGUGGUGUAGCGGUGAAAUGCUUAGAUAUCACGAAGAACUCCGAUUGCGAAGGCAGUUCACUGGACUGCAACUGACACUGAGGCUCGAAAGUGUGGGUAUCAAACAGGAUUAGAUACCCGAGUAGUC